rnacentral:ribozyme from 11 species
AAAACAGUAAGAAGAAGAGGUAGCACGAAGGUCAGGCCCUUUCUUAUACAAGCUCAUUUCAACUAUUUUCACACUAAUAUCGUCCCCUUUCUUUCUUUUUUUCUUUUUCUCUCUCCAUCUCUC